rnacentral:rRNA from 1 species
CUGUACCUACGGGGGGCAGCAGUGGGGAAUAUUGCACAAUGGGGGAAACCCUGAUGCAGCGACGCCGCGUGAGCGAAGAAGUACCUCGGUAUGUAAAGCUCUAUCAGCAGGGAAGAAGAUGACGGUACCUGACCAAGAAGCUCCGGCUAAAUACGUGCCAGCAGCCGCGGUAAUAAGUAUGGAGCAAGCGUUAUCCGGAAUUACUGGGCGUAAAGCGCUCGUAGGCGGUAUGUCAAGUCAAGGGUGAAAUCCCCGCGCUCAACGUGGGAACUGCCUUUGAAA